rnacentral:rRNA from 1 species
ACUCCUGCGGGAGGCAGCAGUGGGGAAUUUUGGACAAUGGGCGAAAGCCUGAUCCAGCAAUGCCGCGUGAGUGAAGAAGGCCUUCGGGUUGUAAAGCUCUUUUGUCAGGGAAGAAACGGUGAAAGCUAAUAUCUUUUGCUAAUGACGGUACCUGAAGAAUAAGCACCGGCUAACUACGUGCCAGCAGCCGCGGUAAUACGUAGGGUGCAAGCGUUAAUCGGAAUUACUGGGCGUAAAGCGUGCGCAGGCGGUUUUGUAAGUCUGAUGUGAAAUCCCCGGGCUCAACCUGGGAAUUGCAUUGGAGACUGCAAGGCUAGAAUCUGGCAGAGGGGGGUAGAAUUCCACGUGUAGCAGUGAAAUGCGUAGAUAUGUGGAGGAACACCGAUGGCGAAGGCAGCCCCCUGGGUCAAGAUUGACGCUCAUGCACGAAAGCGUGGGGAGCAAACAGGAUUAGAUACCCGAGUAGUCCCAUGAU